rnacentral:rRNA from 1 species
GACGAACGCUGGCGGCGUGCUUAACACAUGCAAGUCGAACGAAGCUUGAUUACGGAUUCUUCGGAUGAAGUAUGAUAUGACUGAGUGGCGGACGGGUGAGUAACGCGUGAGUAACCUGCCCUUCAGAGGGGGAUAGCGUUUGGAAACGAACGGUAAUACCGCAUAAUGUAUUUUGACCGCAUGAUCGAAAUACCAAAGAUUUAUCGCUGAAGGAUGGACUCGCGUCUGAUUAGGUAGUUGGUGGGUAACGGCCUACCAAGCCGACGAUCAGUAGCCGGACUGAGAGGUUGAUCGGCCACAUUGGGACUGAGACACGGCCCAGACUCCUACGGGAGGCAGCAGUGGGGAAUAUUGCACAAUGGGCGCAAGCCUGAUGCAGCAACGCCGCGUGAAGGAAGACGGUUUUCGGAUUGUAAACUUCUGUUCUUAGUGAAGAAUAAUGACGGUAGCUAAGGAGCAAGCCACGGCUAACUACGUGCCAGCAGCCGCGGUAAUACGUAGGUGGCAAGCGUUGUCCGGAAUUACUGGGUGUAAAGGGAGCGCAGGCGGGUGAUCAAGUCAGCUGUGAAAACUACGGGCUUAACCCGUAGACUGCAGUUGAAACUGUUCAUCUUGAGUGAAGUAGAGGUUGGCGGAAUUCCGAGUGUAGCGGUGAAAUGCGUAGAUAUUCGGAGGAACACCGGUGGCGAAGGCGGCCAACUGGGCUUUAACUGACGCUGAGGCUCGAAAGUGUGGGGAGCAAACAGGAUUAGAUACCCUGGUAGUCCACACUGUAAACGAUGAUUGCUAGGUGUGGGGGGUCUGACCCCUUCCGUGCCGGAGCUAACGCAAUAAGCAAUCCACCUGGGGAGUACGACCGCAAGGUUGAAACUCAAAGGAAUUGACGGGGACCCGCACAAGCAGUGGAUUAUGUGGUUUAAUUUGAAGCAACGCGAAGAACCUUACCAGCACUUGACAUCCAACUAACGAAAUAGAGAUAUAUUAGGUGCCCUUCAGGGAAAGAUGAGACAGGUGGUGCAUGGUUGUCGUCAGCUCGUGUCGUGAGAUGUUGGGUUAAGUCCCGCAACGAGCGCAACCCUCGCCAUUAGUUGCUACGCAAGAGCACUCUAAUGGGACCGCUACCGACAAGGUGGAGGAAGGUGGGGAGGACGUCAAAUCAUCAUGCCCCUUAUGUGCUGGGCUACACACGUAAUACAAUGGCCAUCAACAGAGAGAAGCAAUACCGCGAGGUGGAGCAAAACUUCAAAAAUGGUCUCAGUUCGGACUGCAGGCUGCAACCCGCCUGCUCGAAGUUGGAAUUGCUAGUAAUCGUGGAUCAGCAUGCCACGGUGAAUAAGAUCCCGGGUCUUGCACUCUCCGCCCGUCA